rnacentral:rRNA from 1 species
CAGCAGCCACGGUAAUACGAAGGGUGCAAGCGUUAAUCAGAAUUACUGGGCGUAAAGCGUGCGUAGGUGGUGGUUUAAGUCCGUUGUGAAAGCCCUGGGCUCAACCUGGGAAUUGCAGUGGAUACUGGAUCACUAGAGUGUGGUAGAGGAUAGUGGAAUUUCCGGUGUAGCAGUGAAAUGCGUAGAGAUCGGAAGGAACAUCUGUGGCGAAGGCGACUAUCUGGGCCAACACUGACACUGAGGCACGAAAGCGUGGGGAGCAAACAGGAUUAGAUACCCGCGUAGUCCCUGUCUCUUAUAC